rnacentral:rRNA from 1 species
UACGGGGGGGGCAAGCGUUGUUCGGAAUUACUGGGCGUAAAGGGCUCGUAGGUAGCCAACUAAGUCAGACGUGAAAUCCCUCGGCUUAACCGGGGAACUGCGUCUGAUACUGGAUGGCUUGAGUUUGGGAGAGGGACGCGGAAUUCCAGGUGUAGCGGUGAAAUGCGUAGAUAUCUGGAGGAACACCGGUGGCGAAGGCGGGCGUCCUGGACCAACACUGACACUGAGGAGCGAAAGCCAAGGGGAGCAAACGGG